rnacentral:tRNA from 1 species
UGGGGUUGUGGCUCAGUGGUACAGCACUCACCUAGCAUAUGUGAGGCCCUGGGUUAGAGCCUCAGCACCACAA